rnacentral:misc_RNA from 1 species
GAUGAAGAACGCAGCGAAAUGCGAUACGUAAUGUGAAUGGCAGAAUUCAGUGAAUCAUCGAGUCUUUGAACGCACAUUGCGCCCCCUGGUAUUCCGGGGGGCAUGCCUGUCCGAGCGUCAUUGCUGCCCUCAAGCACGGCUUGUGUGUUGGGCCUCCGUCCUCCUCCCGGGGGACGGGCCCGAAAGGCAGCGGCGGCACCGCGUCCGGUCCUCGAGCGUAUGGGGCUUCGUCACCCGCUCUUGUAGGCCCGGCCGGCGCUUGCCGACACAUCAAUCUUUUUUCCAGGUUGACCUCGGAUCAGGUAGGGAUACCCGCUGAACUUAAGCAUAUCAAUAAGCGGAGGA